rnacentral:rRNA from 1 species
GACGAACGCUGGCGGCGUGCCUAAUACAUGCAAGUAGAACGCUGAAGGAGGAGCUUGCUUCUCUGGAUGAGUUGCGAACGGGUGAGUAACGCGUAGGUAACCUGCCUGGUAGCGGGGGAUAACUAUUGGAAACGAUAGCUAAUACCGCAUAAGAGUAGAUGUUGCAUGACAUUUGCUAAAAAGGUGCAAUUGCAUCACUACCAGAUGGACCUGCGUUGUAUUAGCUAGUUGGUGGGGUAACGGCUCAUCAAGGCGACGAUACAUAGCCGACCUGGGAGGGUGAUCGGCCACACUGGGACUGGGACACCGCCCAGAACCCUAAGGGAGGGAACAAGAGGGGAACUUUGGCAAUGGACGGAAAGCUGGACGAGCAAAGCCGCGUGAGGUAAGGAGGUUUUCGGAUCCGAAAGCUCUGUUUUAAGGGGAGAAAGAGUGUGAGAGUGAAAAGUUCACGCUGUGACGGUAUCUUACCAGAAAGCGACGGCUAACUACGUG